GCCUACCGAAGAUGGAGCUCCCUCGCAGGGGGUAGCCUCCGAAGGAGAAGACGUGGGAGUGGUCAGCAGUGACGAGGCUCAGCGUGUCCUCCUCGCUGGUGAGCUGGCCCGCCCUCUCAAUGGCGUCGUCGAACAUGAUCGUCUCAGUCAGUGCCCGGUAAGCCCUGCUUUCAUGAUGACCAUGGUCGAUGCGACCACCUGCAGGAAGGCCAGAGGGGGGAGAUGCUGAGCCUGCCCUGCUCCAACCCCCAACCCCCACUCCCCAGGGGCCACCACGCACCCUCCACGAAGAGGAAGAAGCCGCGGGGGUUCCUGCUCAGCAGGCGCAGGGCAGCCUCUGUCAUCUCCAUCAGGGAGGGGUCCAGCGUGGAGUCUCGGUGGAUCUCGUAUUUCAUGUCUCCAGGCUCAAAGAGACCUGUGGGACAAGGGGUCCUGUGGUGACUGGCAGGCUGGGGGUGGGAGGGUGCUGGCGGAUGUGCACACAGGCUCAGAAGGUGCCAUCUGAGGCCAUCUGAGGGAUGCCAGGGCAGGAAGGGGGUCAUUACCCAUGAGAUGGGUCACAGACGGGUCCAGGGAAGCCUGCAUGAGCUCAGUGCGGUUCCACACGUACCGGGCACCCUGUGGGGAGGGAGAGAGCCAGGCCUCAGCCCACAGCCCCCAGCCCCACACCUCUGCCCUCCCCCUGCUGUGCCCCCUGCACCCGCCAGCCCCCAUCACCUGGUGCUUCGCCAGCCAUUCCUGCACCAGAUUCUUCCCGUCCAGCCUGGUCCCACCUUGGCUGUAGUCAUCUGGGUACUCAGGGUCUGGGGUCCCCAUGGGAAACAUGUACUUUCGGCCUCCACCUAGGAUCACCUGGGAACAGAGGAUGGGGCAGGUGGAUUUGGGGCCCUGGCUGGCCCCGUGCCCCCUCCUCAUGCACAGCCCCUGACUCCCCUCCCCAAGGCUGUGGGAAUGGCCCAGCCUGGGCUGCGCCUUCUACGCCCCCAACCCCACCUCCAGACCCUGCUGGCCCAGAUAAGGCUUUUGGUUGCCUGGGUCUGAGCUGGUGCCCCCUCCCUGCUACUCUCUGCCCAGCCCCAGCCCUUGGCCCUGGGGUCGCACGUCAAUGUCCAUGUUGGAGAUGAGCUGCGUGGCGAUGUCCUGGCACCCCUCCUGGCGGGCCGAGGCAGGCACGUCGGCGUCCGAGUACCAGUUGCGGUUCACCGUGUGGGCGUAGGCGCCGGCUGGUGAGGCGUGCUGCACCCAUGUGGUGGUUACCACUCCCACUGACUUCCCUAAGGGUGUCAGAGGUCAGUAUAUGUGACCAAGGUCUGUGACCUGGCCGUGACCCAGCAGCAGGUCGCAGCUCACCUGCUUUCUUGGCCCGAUUCAUCACGGAGAUGACCUCGUUGCCGCGUGUCGUGUUGCACUGGUUAAAGCAGGCGGCUGCACUCAAGCCGAUGGUCUGGAAGUUACCCUUGACCCCGCACAGGUAGGCCGUGGCUGUGGCUGCACUGUCUGGCACGUUUGUCUACAUUGUAUGUCUGGGGACAGAGACACUCUGAGCUCUUCUCUGGGGCAGACACGGAGACCCAGACCCUGAUCUCUGUCCUCUGGGAUUCCAACUGCCUCUAACUCCUUACUGGAGCCCCAGCUGUUUAGGGUCCCUCCCUCCUACCACACUCCAUAGCCAGGAUUCCCCUUCUCUGCUUGGAGAACUCUGAAGUGGCCCAGCCCUUACCUUGGACAGAGCCACGUAUGGGAAGCGGUCCAUGGCCAGGGGGAUCUCAGGCCCCAGUUUGUCCUUCUUCUGCCCCUUUAGGAUCCUGGCAGCUGUCACCGUAGACACCCCCAUCCCUGAAGGAGCAGAAAUGUGUGAGGCUUGCUCCCCAGGGCUGUCCUGGAACCACUGAGGGUCCGGGCACUGGGGCUGUGAGGGCUGCGGGGCUGGAAGGGCUGGCUCACUCACCGUCGCCCAGGAAGAUGAUGAGGUUCUUGGCGGCUGUCUGUGCAGGCUGCAGCUUCUUGGCGGCACCCAGGGCCUCGGCUGCCUGGCGGUUCCAGAAGUCCGGGUUCUCCUCCUCAACUGGCCAGGGGGAGAGCAAAGAUCAGGAAACAGAAGGACCAAGACGACCAAUCCUCUGAGAAUACACGCCACAGCCUGGGCCUCCCCUUGCUCCAGGUAACAGCAACCAAGAAUCCCAGGAAUGGAGGCUUUGGCUCUUCCUCCAGCCGGGGAAGACCUGCUGCUUCUGCUUUGAAAUCCCUGGACCUCAGAGGAAGGGCUGUAACCAGACAUUAUGACAGGCGACUCUGGCAUGAAGAUAUGUCAAACAUUAAAACUGCAGAAAACAGAAAGAUAUGGCCUAAAGAAGAGUUACAGAAUUGAACGCCAAAGUAAUACCACUCAGAUCAAGAAAUUGACUACGGCCAGGAUCUCCCCAUAUGUACCCCGCCCCCCAUUCAAACCCCACUUCUUCCUUCCCCACCAAAGGGAACCAUUGACUUUGUUUUUUGGGACAGAGUCUUGCUCCGUAGCCCAGGAUGGAGUGCAGUGGGGGAAUCACGGCUCACUGCAGCCUUAACCUCCUGGGCCCAAGAGAUUCUUCCACCUCAGCCUCCCGAGUAGUGGGGACUACAGGUGUGUGCCACCUUGCCCAUUUAAUUUUUGCAUUUUUGGUAGAGAUGGGGUUUCACCAUGUUGCCCAGGCUGGUCUGGAAGUCCUGGGCUUAAGCCUCUCCUCCCAAAGUGCUGUGAUUACAGGUGUGAGCCUCCACCCCCAGCAUGGCCUAAAUUUUUUGACACUCCUUUUCUUUUAAUAGCUUUUGGCCAGGUGCUUACUAGCUUUUGGCCAGAACAUGCUUACUAGCAACACCUCUUCCCAACCCCUCAUGAAUAAUCAUGUAAGAUUUCCAUAAAGGGAGCCUCCCUAGUGCCAACCUUUGCUGUCUCAUCUUUAUGAGCAGCCUGCCCUGAAUUCUUCUCUCUGCC